rnacentral:rRNA from 1 species
AUUGAACGCUGGCGGCAGGCCUAACACAUGCAAGUCGAGCGGAUGAAGGGAGCUUGCUCCUGGAUUCAGCGGCGGACGGGUGAGUAAUGCCUAGGAAUCUGCCUGGUAGUGGGGGAUAACGUCCGGAAACGGGCGCUAAUACCGCAUACGUCCUGAGGGAGAAAGUGGGGGAUCUUCGGACCUCACGCUAUCAGAUGAGCCUAGGUCGGAUUAGCUAGUUGGUGGGGUAAAGGCCUACCAAGGCGACGAUCCGUAACUGGUCUGAGAGGAUGAUCAGUCACACUGGAACUGAGACACGGUCCAGACUCCUACGGGAGGCAGCAGUGGGGAAUAUUGGACAAUGGGCGAAAGCCUGAUCCAGCCAUGCCGCGUGUGUGAAGAAGGUCUUCGGAUUGUAAAGCACUUUAAGUUGGGAGGAAGAGCAGUAAGUUAAUACCUUGCUGUUUUGACGUUACCCACAGAAUAAGCACCGGCUAACUUCGUG